rnacentral:rRNA from 1 species
UGCAGUCGAGCGGAGUGAUGGUGCUUGCACUAUCACUUAGCGGCGGACGGGUGAGUAAUGCUUAGGAAUCUGCCUAUUAGUGGGGGACAACAUCUCGAAAGGGAUGCUAAUACCGCAUACGUCCUACGGGAGAAAGCAGGGGAUCACUUGUGACCUUGCGCUAAUAGAUGAGCCUAAGUCGGAUUAGCUAGUUGGUGGGGUAAAGGCCUACCAAGGCGACGAUCUGUAGCGGGUCUGAGAGGAUGAUCCGCCACACUGGGACUGAGACACGGCCCAGACUCCUACGGGAGGCAGCAGUGGGGAAUAUUGGACAAUGGGGGGAACCCUGAUCCAGCCAUGCCGCGUGUGUGAAGAAGGCCUUAUGGUUGUAAAGCACUUUAAGCGAGGAGGAGGCUCUUUUGGUUAUACC